rnacentral:rRNA from 1 species
UUCCCCUAGUAACUGCGAGUGUUUGGGUGGAAAAMAAAUUUAAAAUCUGGCGACCUUUGGCCGUCCGAGUUGUAAUCUAGARAARUGUUAUCCGCGCUGGACCGUGUACAAGUCUCCUGGAAUGGAGCGUCAUAGAGGGUGAGAAUCCCGUCUUUGACACGGACUGCCAGGGCUUUGUGAUGCGCUCUCAAAGAGUCGAGUUGUUUGGGAAUGCAGCUCAAAAUGGGUGGUAAAUUCCAUCUAAAGCUAAAUAUUGGCGAGAGACCGAUAGCGAACAAGUACCGUGAGGGAAAGAUGAAAAGAACUUUGGAAAGAGAGUUAAACAGUACGUGAAAUUGCUGAAAGGGAAACGCUUGAAGUCAGUCGCGUUGUUUGGGAAUCAACCUUGCUUUUGCUGGGCGUACUUUCCAGAUGAUGGGCCAGCAUCAAUUUUGACCGUUGGAUAAAGGUUGGAGGAAUGUGGCAUCUUCGGAUGUGUUAUAGCCUCCAGUUGCAUACAACGGUUGGGAUUGARGAACUCAGCACGCCGCAAGGCCGG